AGGAUAACACCUAGAAAAAAAUGUGGGGCUAGUAGGCACAUGCCAUAUAGUUGUGUUCUGAUUCUCGAAGCAUCAUCAAAAAUUAUUCCUGAUGAUGAGAAGAUACGCCAUUUAUUAGCUGGUGGACAGUUGUAUCCACUCAAGCCAUCAACUGACGGUUGAUGUAGGCUUUGGUGCUUAUAAAUAGAGGCCAACGAGUGGAGAAACCUAAUCUUGUCUCCAUCCUUCGCAAAAAUUUCUUCCCUAUGUCGUGAUGUCAUCACCCUCGCGUCCCCCUUUGCCAACAGUGAAGGCAAAGUGGGCCUUCAU
rnacentral:lncRNA from 1 species